rnacentral:lncRNA from 10 species
CACCUAUCAUGCUGUAGAACCAGGCCUAAGGACACAUAGCUCCUGAGGCAGGAUCUAGACACCAGCUAUUCCUAUGCAAUGCUGGAGAAUAUGGGACAUCCAUAUGUACAGAUACCCACCUCAUACAGCUGCAACAUGCUCUGACAACUGUCAAACCAACAACCCUCAAGCUGACUGUAGAACUACCAAUAAUCAAAUUCACGGCGCGAUUUUGGAUAGAAGUCCGUCACUUUCCCAGGAACUCCCGAAGCAAUGCAAAUUGGGCCUGAUGUGGAUUGAAAGCUAUUUUGUCUUCUUAUUUCUUCAAGAGCACAAAAAGUUGAAGGCCCCAAAAACCAUUCACUUUUUCAUUCUGGCAAAGCCUAAUUUUGUUCUCAACCCGCAGCACACAGUGAAGAGAACCCCAAGAGUAAAUGUAGCUUAAACAAUAUGACCUUUAUCAUCAGAAGAAAACAGCAAUGCUUAGGUGGAAAUUGACUGGGUUGGGAAGCUUGGAAGGUAGAAAAUUUAUCAUCAACAUUAUCAGUAUCAGACAACUAAUAAUACCUCUGAAAAAAGGAAAUCUCUACAAGCUGCCAGCUGAAGUUGGCGUGUGUUCUCUGUCCAAAGCUGGGUGAUGUCCACACCCAAACCAGUCAGGGGACUGGGAAUGAGGCCCCCAAAGGGAACAAAUGACUGAAUAUUCCAGAUAAAGGUAGAGAACACAGCAAUCUAUGCACCACCCCCCCACCCCCCAUUUUUUAAAAACAUUUAACCAGAAGUCCAGACCUUAUCACUCUCUAAGUAAUUUAAGGUGACUAAGGUGAUGCACAUUGUGGCACCAUGACAGCUAAUAGCAGGAGUCUUCUGUAAUGCACACUUUCAGCAACUUAACUCUGGAAAGGCCCCAGGCAGGGUCAGAAAGUGCAACAUCAUUCACAAAAAUUUACCAUAUAUCUGACAAUUACAACAAAUCUCCCUUGCGUGGAUGUUUGGAUGUGAGAUUCAAUUUCAGGCUGAGAUCUCCCUCAACAAGCUAACACAGGGUCAUCCAAGGGAAAGAAUACAGUCAUGGGUUCUUAGUUUGUUUCUAGCUGGGCCAGUAAAGCUCCUUUCUCAUCUCAUUCCUCUUGUCCACCUACCACUAGAGACAGAAACAAAACCAUGGCUUCAGGCUAAAAGCCUAAAACAAAACAGAGCAACAAAAAAAUAGGGUGAGUAAGACAAGCUCGAUAGAGCUUUGCUGUUUUUGACCUGUUGACAAAGGAAAAAAAGUAUAUUGCCUGCAUUCCUAAGGACUUUCUCCAGGAUGAACUUACUCUUGCUCAGUGAAGUUAGGCUGAAUACUUUCUAACAUUUGCUGCACUCAUAAUAUUCUGCUGGUUGUAUAGUAAUAACAUACAAAGGUGUUUUUCUGAUGUCAGGACAUGUCACAAUGAUAAUCAUAAAAUGUAGACCACUUUGCUACUUACAGCUUGAAACCUAAGGACAUAGGCAGGGCUGCAAGAGUUAUGAGGGAACCCAAGAUAACAGCAAGCUGGAGCUUAGGGGGCAGCUUGUGUGUGCCAUGUAAAUUGGGGUUAGCUAGGUUUUCAGGGACCCCUGUGCAUUGACCAAUGGAAUAAUUUUACAAGCUCCUGGGCACAGAAGCUGUCCCUAGAUAUCUGAUUCCUGAUCCUGGGGUGAUUGGGUCUUACAUAUUGUGGCCCAGAGUUUGAGAGCCUGAUAAGGAAAAUGGUUGGGAGUGUGGACUUAAUCUGCUGCUCCAAAAUUGUAACUGACAAGCCUCUACCAAGGGCCUUAAUGCUAGGCAAAAACAUUAUUCUUUUGAUGUUAAAAAAAAAAAACUGGAUAUCCACACGCAAAAGAAUUAAGUUGCUAAAAUGAACUCAAAUGCAUCAAAGACUUAUAAAACAGAUAUAUUAGACUCCAUUUAAAUUCAAAAUUCCUGUGUAAAAAAGGACAUAAUGGACAGAGUGAAAAGGAAAAAGACUCAAUGGGAGAAAGUAUUUGAAAACCACAUAUCUGAGAAGGAAUAUCUAGAAUAUGAGGGGUCUUCAAAAGUUUCAUGAAAAAUGAGAAAAAAAUGUAUAUUAUGAAAAAAUUGGCCAGGGGUGGUGGCUUAAGCCUGUAAUCACAGCACUUUGUGAGGCCCAGGCAGGUGGAUCACCUGAGGUCAGGAGUUCGAGAGCAGCCUGGCCAACAGAGUGAAAACCCAUCUCUACUAAAAAUACAAAAAUUAGCUGGGCGUGAUUGUGGGCACCUGUAAUCCCAGCUACUCAAGAGGCUGAGGCAGGAGAAUUGCUUGAACCCAGGAGGCGGAGGUUGCAAUGAGCCGAGAUCAUGCCACUGCACUCCAACCUAGCGUUAGUGAGACUCUGUCAAAAAAAAAAAAAAAAAUUAUGUAUGGAUUUCAAUUUUUUACACCAAAGUGAAUUUGUAAUAACUUGUUCUAACAAGUAUGAACAGGAUCUAGUUUGAGGCACUAAGAACGGCAUCAGUUUGAAAACACCUUCUAUCAGAGGAAUGUGAAUUCAGCUAAGGUUGAAGAAAGAACAAAUAUCAAAUAUAUAGUAAAGCUUGGCUCUAAAAAUGGUAAAACCGGCCGGGUGCGGUGGCUCGCGCCUGUAAUCCCAGCACUUUGGGAGGCCGAGUUUGGGCGGAUCACAAGGUCAGGAGUUCAAGA